GCAAGUCGAACGGCAGCAUAGGACUUCGGUCCUGAUGGCGAGUGGCGCACGGGUGAGUAAGCGUACACAAUCUAUCCAUAAGCGGGGGAUAGCCACUGGAAACGCUGAAUAAUAUCCCAUAGUAUUACCUUUUAGCUUAUUUGGUAAUUAAAGCUCCGGCGCUUAUAGAUGAGUGUGCGUCCGAUUAGCUAGUUGGUAAGGUAAUGGCUUACCAAGGCUACGAUUGGUAGGGGGCGUGAGAGCGUGAUC
rnacentral:rRNA from 1 species